UAUGACAAAGGAACGGCCAAAAAUAAAAAGAAAGACCUUUCUUAUGAAAAAACAGACAUACCCAAGGAAUGCAACACGAGGACUUCCCAGGUGCCCAAGCACGCUUAACUUCGGAGUUCUGAUGGGAUCCGGUGCUUUAGUGCUGGUAUGAUCGCAUCCGACAUACCGUGCGUUCUCCUCCCCUUUAUGCCCGCGCCUCCGUGUACGGCCCGCCCAUAGCUCCUUCGACGGCGCCGCCUAGGAACGCGGAGAAAAUAUGACAAAGGAACGGCCAAAAAUAAAAAGAAAGACACUUUCUUUUGAAAAAACAAACAAAAAAAAGGAAUGCAACACGAGGACUUCCCAGGAGGUCACCCAUCCUAGUACUACUCUCGCCCAAGCACGCUUAACUUCGGAGUUCUGAUGGGAUCCGGUGCUUUAGUGCUGGUAUGAUCGCAUCCGACAUACCGUGCGUUCUCCUCCCCUUUAUGCCCGCGCCUCCGUGUACGGCCCGCCCAUAGCUCCUUCGACGGCGCCGCCUAGGAACGCGGAGAAAAUAUGACAAAGGAACGGCCAAAAACAAAAAGAAAGACCUUUCUUUUGAAAAAACAAACGCCUCCGUGUACGGCCCGCCCAUAGCUCCUUCGACGGCGCCGCCUAGGAACGCGGAGAAAAUAUGACAAAGGAACGGCCAAAAAUAAAAAGAAAGACCUUUCUUUUGAAAAAACAAACAAAAAAAAGGAAUGCAACACGAGGACUUCCCAGGAGGUCACCCAUCCUAGUACUACUCUCGCCCAAGCACGCUUAACUUCGGAGUUCUGAUGGGAUCCGGUGCUUUAGUGCUGGUAUGAUCGCAUCCGACAUACCGUGCGUUCUCCUCCCCUUUAUGCCCGCGCCUCCGUGUACGGCCCGCCCAUAGCUCCUUCGACGGCGCCGCCUAGGAACGCGGAGAAAAUAUGACAAAGGAACGGCCAAAAAUAAAAAGAAAGACCUUUCUUUUGAAAAAACAAACGCCUCCGUGUACGGCCCGCCCAUAGCUCCUUCGACGGCGCCGCCUAGGAACGCGGAGAAAAUAUGACAAAGGAACGGCCAAAAAUAAAAAGAAAGACCUUUCUUUUGAAAAAACAAACAAAAAAAAGGAAUGCAACACGAGGACUUCCCAGGAGGUCACCCAUCCUAGUACUACUCUCGCCCAAGCACGCUUAACUUCGGAGUUCUGAUGGGAUCCGGUGCUUUAGUGCUGGUAUGAUCGCAUCCGACAUACCGUGCGUUCUCCUCCCCUUUAUGCCCGCGCCUCCGUGUACGGCCCGCCCAUAGCUCCUUCGACGGCGCCGCCUAGGAACGCGGAGAAAAUAUGACAAAGGAACGGCCAAAAAUAAAAAGAAAGACCUUUCUUUUGAAAAAACAAACGCCUCCGUGUACGGCCCGCCCAUAGCUCCUUCGACGGCGCCGCCUAGGAACGCGGAGAAAAUAUGACAAAGGAACGGCCAAAAAUAAAAAGAAAGACCUUUCUUUUGAAAAAACAAACAAAAAAAAGGAAUGCAACACGAGGACUUCCCAGGAGGUCACCCAUCCUAGUACUACUCUCGCCCAAGCACGCUUAACUUCGGAGUUCUGAUGGGAUCCGGUGCUUUAGUGCUGGUAUGAUCGCAUCCGACAUACCGUGCGUUCUCCUCCCCUUUAUGCCCGCGCCUCCGUGUACGGCCCGCCCAUAGCUCCUUCGACGGCGCCGCCUAGGAACGCGGAGAAAAUAUGACAAAGGAACGGCCAAAAAUAAAAAGAAAGACCUUUCUUUUGAAAAAACAAACAAAUAAAAGGAAUGCAACACGAGGAGUUCCCAGGAGGUCACCCAUCCUAGUACUACUCUCGCCCAAGCACGCUUAACUUCGGAGUUCUGAUGGGAUCCGGUGCUUUAGUGCUGGUAUGAUCGCAUCCGACAUACCGUGCGUUCUCCUCCCCUUUAUGCCCGCGCCUCCGUGUACGGCCCGCCCAUAGCUCCUUCGACGGCGCCGCCUAGGAACGCGGAGAAAAUAUGACAAAGGAACGGCCAAAAAUAAAAAGAAAGACCUUUCUUUUGAAAAAACAAACAAAAAAAAGAAAUGCAACACGAGGACUUCCCAGGAGGUCACCCAUCCUAGUACUACUCUCGCCCAAGCACGCUUAACUUCGGAGUUCUGAUGGGAUCCGGUGCUUUAGUGCUGGUAUGAUCGCAUCCGACAUACCGUGCGUUCUCCUCCCCUUUAUGCCCGCGCCUCCGUGUACGGCCCGCCCAUAGCUCCUUCGACGGCGCCGCCUAGGAACGCGGAGAAAAUAUGACAAAGGAACGGCCAAAAAUAAAAAGAAAGACCUUUCUUUGAAAAAACAAACAAUUCACAGGAAUGCAACACGAGGACUUCCCACGAGGUCACCCAUCCUAGUACUACUCUCGCCCAAGCACGCUUAACUUCGGAGUUCUGAUGGGAUCCGGUGCUUUAGUGCUGGUAUGAUCGCAUCCGACAUACCGUGCGUUCUCCUCCCCUUUAUGCCCGCGCCUCCGUGUACGGCCCGCCCAUAGCUCCUUCGACGGCGCCGCCUAGGAACGCGGAGAAAAUAUGACAAAGGAACGGCCAAAAAUAAAAAGAAAGACCUUUCUUUUGAAAAAACAAACCAAAAAAAAGGAAUGCAACACGAGGACUUCCCAAGAGGUCACCCAUCCUAGUACUACUCUCGCCCAAGCACGCUUAACUUCGGAGUUCUGAUGGGAUCCGGUGCUUUAGUGCUGGUAUGAUCGCAUCCGACAUACCGUGCGUUCUCCUCCCCAUUAUGCCCGCGCCUCCGUGUACGGCCCGCCCAUAGCUCCUUUGACGGCGCCGCUUAGGAACGCGGAGAAAAUAUGACAAAGGAACGGCCAAAAAUAAAAAGAAAGACCUUUCUUUUGAAAAAACAAACAAAUAAAAGGAAUGCAACACGAGGACUUCCCAGGAGGUCACCCAUCCUAGUACUACUCUCGCCCAAGCACGCUUAACUUCGGAGUUCUGAUGGGAUCCGGUGCUUUAGUGCUGGUAUGAUCGCAUCCGACAUACCGUGCGUUCUCCUCCCCUUUAUGCCCGCGCCUCCGUGUACGGCCCGCCCAUAGCUCCUUCGACGGCGCCGCCUAGGAACGCGGAGAAAAUAUGACAAAGGAACGGCCAAAAACAAAAAGAAAGACCUUUCUUUUGAAAAAACAAACAAAAAAAAGGAAUGCAACACGAGGACUUCCCAGGAGGUCACCCAUCCUAGUACUACUCUCGCCCAAGCACGCUUAACUUCGGAGUUCUGAUGGGAUCCGGUGCUUUAGUGCUGGUAUGAUCGCAUCCGACAUACCGUGCGUUCUCCUCCCCUUUAUGCCCGCGCCUCCGUGUACGGCCCGCCCAUAGCUCCUUCGACGGCGCCGCCUAGGAACGCGGAGAAAAUAUGACAAAGGAACGGCCAAAAAUAAAAAGAAAGACCUUUCUUUUGAAAAAACAAACAAAUAAAAGGAAUGCAACACGAGGACUUCCCAGGAGGUCACCCAUCCUAGUACUACUCUCGCCCAAGCACGCUUAACUUCGGAGUUCUGAUGGGAUCCGGUGCUUUAGUGCUGGUAUGAUCGCAUCCGACAUACCGUGCGUUCUCCUCCCCUUUAUGCCCGCGCCUCCGUGUACGGCCCGCCCAUAGCUCCUUCGACGGCGCCGCCUAGGAACGCGGAGAAAAUAUGACAAAGGAACGGCCAAAAAUAAAAAGAAAGACCUUUCUUUUGAAAAAACAAACAAAUAAAAGGAAUGCAACACGAGGACUUCCCAGGAGAUCACCCAUCCUAGUACUACUCUCGCCCAAGCACGCUUAACUUCGGAGUUCUGAUGGGAUCCGGUGCUUUAGUGCUGGUAUGAUCGCAUCCGACAUACCGUGCGUUCUCCUCCCCUUUAUGCCCGCGCCUCCGUGUACGGCCCGCCCAUAGCUCCUUCGACGGCGCCGCCUAGGAACGCGGAGAAAAUAUGACAAAGGAACGGCCAAAAAUAAAAAGAAAGACCUUUCUUUUGAAAAAACAAACAAAAAAAAGGAAUGCAACACGAGGACUUCCCACGAGGUCACCCAUCCUAGUACUACUCUAGUACCAAGCACGCUUAACUUCGGAGUUCUGAUGGGAUCCGGUGCUUUAGUGCUGGUAUGAUCGCAUCCGACAUACCGUGCGUUCUCCUCCCCUUUAUGCCCGCGCCUCCGUGUACGGCCCGCCCAUAGCUCCUUCGACGGCGCCGCCUAGGAACGCGGAGAAAAUAUGACAAAGGAACGGCCAAAAAUAAAAAGAAAGACCUUUCUUUUGAAAAAACAAACAAAAAAAAGGAAUGCAACACGAGGACUUCCCAGGAGGUCACCCAUCCUAGUACUACUCUCGCCCAAGCACGCUUAACUUCGGAGUUCUGAUGGGAUCCGGUGCUUUAGUGCUGGUAUGAUCGCAUCCGACAUACCGUGCGUUCUCCUCCCCUUUAUGCCCGCGCCUCCGUGUACGGCCCGCCCAUAGCUCCUUCGACGGCGCCGCCUAGGAACGCGGAGAAAAUAUGACAAAGGAACGGCCAAAAAUAAAAAGAAAGACCUUUCUUUUGAAAAAACAAACAAAUAAAAGGAAUGCAACACGAGGACUUCCCAGGAGGUCACCCAUCCUAGUACUACUCUCGCCCAAGCACGCUUAACUUCGGAGUUCUGAUGGGAUCCGGUGCUUUAGUGCUGGUAUGAUCGCAUCCGACAUACCGUGCGUUCUCCUCCCCUUUAUGCCCGCGCCUCCGUGUACGGCCCGCCCAUAGCUCCUUCGACGGCGCCGCCUAGGAACGCGGAGAAAAUAUGACAAAGGAACGGCCAAAAAUAAAAAGAAAGACCUUUCUUUUGAAAAAACAAACAAAAAAAAGGAAUGCAACACGAGGACUUCCCAGGAGGUCACCCAUCCUAGUACUACUCUCGCCCAAGCACGCUUAACUUCGGAGUUCUGAUGGGAUCCGGUGCUUUAGUGCUGGUAUGAUCGCAUCCGACAUACCGUGCGUUCUCCUCCCCUUUAUGCCCGCGCCUCCGUGUACGGCCCGCCCAUAGCUCCUUCGACGGCGCCGCCUAGGAACGCGGAGAAAAUAUGACAAAGGAACGGCCAAAAAUAAAAAGAAAGACCUUUCUUUUGAAAAAACAAACAAAAAAAAGGAAUGCAACACGAGGACUUCCCAGGAGGUCACCCAUCCUAGUACUACUCUCGCCCAAGCACGCUUAACUUCGGAGUUCUGAUGGGAUCCGGUGCUUUAGUGCUGGUAUGAUCGCAUCCGACAUACCGUGCGUUCUCCUCCCCUUUAUGCCCGCGCCUCCGUGUACGGCCCGCCCAUAGCUCCUUCGACGGCGCCGCCUAGGAACGCGGAGAAAAUAUGACAAAGGAACGGCCAAAAAUAAAAAGAAAGACCUUUCUUUUGAAAAAACAAACAAAUAAAAGGAAUGCAACACAAGGACUUCCCAGGAGGUCACCCAUCCUAGUACUACUCUCGCCCAAGCACGCUUAACUUCGGAGUUCUGAUGGGAUCCGGUGCUUUAGUGCUGGUAUGAUCGCAUCCGACAUACCGUGCGUUCUCCUCCCCUUUAUGCCCGCGCCUCCGUGUACGGCCCGCCCAUAGCUCCUUCGACGGCGCCGCCUAGGAACGCGGAGAAAAUAUGACAAAGGAACGGCCAAAAAUAAAAAGAAAGACCUUUCUUUUGAAAAAACAAACGCCUCCGUGUACGGCCCGCCCAUAGCUCCUUCGACGGCGCCGCCUAGGAACGCGGAGAAAAUAUGACAAAGGAACGGCCAAAAAUAAAAAGAAAGACCUUUCUUUUGAAAAAACAAACAAAAAAAAGGAAUGCAACACGAGGACUUCCCAGGAGGUCACCCAUCCUAGUACUACUCUCGCCCAAGCACGCUUAACUUCGGAGUUCUGAUGGGAUCCGGUGCUUUAGUGCUGGUAUGAUCGCAUCCGACAUACCGUGCGUUCUCCUCCCCUUUAUGCCCGCGCCUCCGUGUACGGCCCGCCCAUAGCUCCUUCGACGGCGCCGCCUAGGAACGCGGAGAAAAUAUGACAAAGGAACGGCCAAAAAUAAAAAGAAAGACCUUUCUUUUGAAAAAACAAACGCCUCCGUGUACGGCCCGCCCAUAGCUCCUUCGACGGCGCCGCCUAGGAACGCGGAGAAAAUAUGACAAAGGAACGGCCAAAAAUAAAAAGAAAGACCUUUCUUUUGAAAAAACAAACAAAAAAAAGGAAUGCAACACGAGGACUUCCCAGGAGGUCACCCAUCCUAGUACUACUCUCGCCCAAGCACGCUUAACUUCGGAGUUCUGAUGGGAUCCGGUGCUUUAGUGCUGGUAUGAUCGCAUCCGACAUACCGUGCGUUCUCCUCCCCUUUAUGCCCGCGCCUCCGUGUACGGCCCGCCCAUAGCUCCUUCGACGGCGCCGCCUAGGAACGCGGAGAAAAUAUGACAAAGGAACGGCCAAAAAUAAAAAGAAAGACCUUUCUUUUGAAAAAACAAACAAAUAAAAGGAAUGCAACACGAGGACUUCCCAGGAGGUCACCCAUCCUAGUACUACUCUCGCCCAAGCACGCUUAACUUCGGAGUUCUGAUGGGAUCCGGUGCUUUAGUGCUGGUAUGAUCGCAUCCGACAUACCGUGCGUUCUCCUCCCCUUUAUGCCCGCGCCUCCGUGUACGGCCCGCCCAUAGCUCCUUCGACGGCGCCGCCUAGGAACGCGGAGAAAAUAUGACAAAGGAACGGCCAAAAAUAAAAAGAAAGACCUUUCUUUUGAAAAAACAAACAAAAAAAAAGGAAUGCAACACGAGGACUUCCCAGGAGGUCACCCAUCCUAGUACUACUCUCGCCCAAGCACGCUUAACUUCGGAGUUCUGAUGGGAUCCGGUGCUUUAGUGCUGGUAUGAUCGCAUCCGACAUACCGUGCGUUCUCCUCCCCUUUAUGCCCGCGCCUCCGUGUACGGCCCGCCCAUAGCUCCUUCGACGGCGCCGCCUAGGAACGCGGAGAAAAUAUGACAAAGGAACGGCCAAAAAUAAAAAGAAAGACCUUUCUUUUGAAAAAACAAACAAAAAAAAGGAAUGCAACACGAGGACUUCCCAGGAGGUCACCCAUCCUAGUACUACUCUCGCCCAAGCACGCUUAACUUCGGAGUUCUGAUGGGAUCCGGUGCUUUAGUGCUGGUAUGAUCGCAUCCGACAUACCGUGCGUUCUCCUCCCCUUUAUGCCCGCGCCUCCGUGUACGGCCCGCCCAUAGCUCCUUCGACGGCGCCGCCUAGGAACGCGGAGAAAAUAUGACAAAGGAACGGCCAAAAAUAAAAAGAAAGACCUUUCUUUUGAAAAAACAAACAAAAAAAAGGAAUGCAACACGAGGACUUCCCAGGAGGUCACCCAUCCUAGUACUACUCUCGCCCAAGCACGCUUAACUUCGGAGUUCUGAUGGGAUCCGGUGCUCUAGUGCUGGUAUGAUCGCAUCCGACAUACCGUGCGUUCUCCUCCCCUUUAUGCCCGCGCCUCCGUGUACGGCCCGCCCAUAGCUCCUUCGACGGCGCCGCCUAGGAACGCGGAGAAAAUAUGACAAAGGAACGGCCAAAAAUAAAAAGAAAGACCUUUCUUUUGAAAAAACAAACAAAAAAAAAGGAAUGCAACACGAGGACUUCCCAGGAGGUCACCCAUCCUAGUACUACUCUCGCCCAAGCACGCUUAACUUCGGAGUUCUGAUGGGAUCCGGUGCUUUAGUGCUGGUAUGAUCGCAUCCGACAUACCGUGCGUUCUCCUCCCCUUUAUGCCCGCGCCUCCGUGUACGGCCCGCCCAUAGCUCCUUCGACGGCGCCGCCUAGGAACGCGGAGAAAAUAUGACAAAGGAACGGCCAAAAAUAAAAAGAAAGACCUUUCUUUUGAAAAAACAAACAAAUAAAAGGAAUGCAACACGAGGACUUCCUAGGAGGUCACCCAUCCUAGUACUACUCUCGCCCAAGCACGCUUAACUUCGGAGUUCUAAUGGGAUCCGGUGCUUUAGUGCUGGUAUGAUCGCAUCCGACAUACCGUGCGUUCUCCUCCCCUUUAUGCCCGCGCCUCCGUGUACGGCCCGCCCAUAGCUCCUUCGACGGCGCCGCCUAGGAACGCGGAGAAAAUAUGACAAAGGAACGGCCAAAAAUAAAAAGAAAGACCUUUCUUUUGAAAAAACAAACAAAAAAAAGGAAUGCAACACGAGGACUUCCCAGGAGGUCACCCAUCCUAGUACUACUCUCGCCCAAGCACGCUUAACUUCGGAGUUCUGAUGGGAUCCGGUGCUUUAGUGCUGGUAUGAUCGCAUCCGACAUACCGUGCGUUCUCCUCCCCUUUAUGCCCGCGCCUCCGUGUACGGCCCGCCCAUAGCUCCUUCGACGGCGCCGCCUAGGAACGCGGAGAAAAUAUGACAAAGGAACGGCCAAAAAUAAAAAGAAAGACCUUUCUUUUGAAAAAACAAACAAAAAAAAGGAAUGCAACACGAGGACUUCCCAGGAGGUCACCCAUCCUAGUACUACUCUCGCCCAAGCACGCUUAACUUCGGAGUUCUGAUGGGAUCCGGUGCUUUAGUGCUGGUAUGAUCGCAUCCGACAUACCGUGCGUUCUCCUCCCCUUUAUGCCCGCGCCUCCGUGUACGGCCCGCCCAUAGCUCCUUCGACGGCGCCGCCUAGGAACGCGGAGAAAAUAUGACAAAGGAACGGCCAAAAAUAAAAAGAAAGACCUUUCUUUUGAAAAAACAAACAAAAAAAAGGAAUGCAACACGAGGACUUCCCAGGAGGUCACCCAUCCUAGUACUACUCUCGCCCAAGCACGCUUAACUUCGGAGUUCUGAUGGGAUCCGGUGCUUUAGUGCUGGUAUGAUCGAAUCCGACAUACCGUGCGUUCUCCUCCCCUUUAUGCCCGCGCCUCCGUGUACGGUCCGCCCAUAGCUCCUUCGACGGCGCCGCCUAGGAACGCGGAGAAAAUAUGACAAAGGAACGGCCAAAAAUAAAAAGAAAGACCUUUCUUUUGAAAAAACAAACAAAUAAAAGGAAUGCAACACGAGGACUUCCCAGGAGGUCACCCAUCCUAGUACUACUCUCGCCCAAGCACGCUUAACUUCGGAGUUCUGAUGGGAUCCGGUGCUUUAGUGCUGGUAUGAUCGCAUCCGACAUACCGUGCGUUCUCCUCCCCUUUAUGCCCGCGCCUCCGUGUACGGCCCGCCCAUAGCUCCUUCGACGGCGCCGCCUAGGAACGCGGAGAAAAUAUGACAAAGGAACGGCCAAAAAUAAAAAGAAAGACCUUUCUUUUGAAAAAACAAACAAAUAAAAGGAAUGCAACACGAGGACUUCCCAGGAGGUCACCCAUCCUAGUACUACUCUCGCCCAAGCACGCUUAACUUCGGAGUUCUGAUGGGAUCCGGUGCUUUAGUGCUGGUAUGAUCGCAUCCGACAUACCGUGCGUUCUCCUCCCCUUUAUGCCCGCGCCUCCGUGUACGGCCCGCCCAUAGCUCCUUCGACGGCGCCGCCUAGGAACGCGGAGAAAAUAUGACAAAGGAACGGCCAAAAAUAAAAAGAAAGACCUUUCUUUUGAAAAAACAAACAAAAAAAAGGAAUGCAGCACCAGGACUUCCCGGAAGGUCACCCAUCCAAAUACAACUCUCGCCGAACCACGUUUAACUUCGAAUUUCUAAUGGAAUCCGGGGCUUUAGAGCUGGAAUGAUCGCAUCCGACAUACCGUGCGUUCUCCUCCCCUUUAUGCCCGCGCCUCCGUGUACGGCCCGCCCAUAGCUCCUUCGACGGCGCCGCCUAGGAACGCGGAGAAAAUAUGACAAAGGAGCGGCCAAAAAUAAAAAGAAAGACCUUUCUUUUGAAAAAACAAACAAAUAAAAGGAAUGCAACACGAGGACUUCCUAGGAGGUCACCCAUCCUAGUACUACUCUCGCCCAAGCACGCUUAACUUCGGAGUUCUGAUGGGAUCCGGUGCUUUAGUGCUGGUAUGAUCGCAUCCGACAUACCGUGCGUUCUCCUCCCCUUUAUGCCCGCGCCUCCGUGUACGGCCCGCCCAUAGCUCCUUCGACGGCGCCGCCUAGGAACGCGGAGAAAAUAUGACAAAGGAACGGCCAAAAAUAAAAAGAAAGACCUUUCUUUUGAAAAAACAAACGCCUCCGUGUACGGCCCGCCCAUAGCUCCUUCGACGGCGCCGCCUAGGAACGCGGAGAAAAUAUGACAAAGGAACGGCCAAAAAUAAAAAGAAAGACCUUUCUUUUGAAAAAACAAACAAAAAAAAGGAAUGCAACACGAGGACUUCCCAGGAGGUCACCCAUCCUAGUACUACUCUCGCCCAAGCACGCUUAACUUCGGAGUUCUGAUGGGAUCCGGUGCUUUAGUGCUGGUAUGAUCGCAUCCGACAUACCGUGCGUUCUCCUCCCCUUUAUGCCCGCGCCUCCGUGUACGGCCCGCCCAUAGCUCCUUCGACGGCGCCGCCUAGGAACGCGGAGAAAAUAUGACAAAGGAACGGCCAAAAAUAAAAAGAAAGACCUUUCUUUUGAAAAAACAAACAAAUAAAAGGAAUGCAACACGAGGACUUCCCAGGAGGUCACCCAUCCUAGUACUACUCUCGCCCAAGCACGCUUAACUUCGGAGUUCUGAUGGGAUCCGGUGCUUUAGUGCUGGUAUGAUCGCAUUCGACAUACCGAUGCGUUCUCAUCCCCGUUAUGCGCCGCGCCUCUGUGUACGGCCCGCCCAUAGCUCCUUUGACUGCGCCUCGUAGGAUCGCGGAGAAUAUAUGACAAAGGCACGGCCAAACAUAAAACGAAAGACCUCUCUUUUGCAACAACAAACAAAAUAAAGGAAUGCAACACGAGGACUUCCCAGGAGGUCACCCAUCCUAGUACUAGUCUCGCUCAAGCACGCUGAUCUUCGGAGUUCUGAUGGGAUCCGGUGCUUUAGUGCUGGUAUGAUCGCAUCCGACAUACCGUGCGUUCUCCUCCCCUUUAUGCCCGCGCCUCCGUGUACGGCCCGCCCAUAGCUCCUUCGACGGCGCCGCCUAGGAACGCGGAGAAAAUAUGACAAAGGAACGGCCAAAAAUAAAAAGAAAGACCUUUCUUUUGAAAAAACAAACAAAAAAAAGGAAUGCAACACGAGGACUUCCCAGGAGGUCACCCAUCCUAGUACUACUCUCGCCCAAGCACGCUUAACUUCGGAGUUCUGAUGGGAUCCGGUGCUUUAGUGCUGGUAUGAUCGCAUCCGACAUACCGUGCGUUCUCCUCCCCUUUAUGCCCGCGCCUCCGUGUACGGCCCGCCCAUAGCUCCUUCGACGGCGCCGCCUAGGAACGCGGAGAAAAUAUGACAAAGGAACGGCCAAAAAUAAAAAGAAAGACCUUUCUUUUGAAAAAACAAACAAAUAAAAGGAAUGCAACACGAGGACUUCCCAGGAGGUCACCCAUCCUAGUACUACUCUCGCCCAAGCACGCUUAACUUCGGAGUUCUGAUGGGAUCCGGUGCUUUAGUGCUGGUAUGAUCGCAUCCGACAUACCGUGCGUUCUCCUCCCCUUUAUGCCCGCGCCUCCGUGUACGGCCCGCCCAUAGCUCCUUCGACGAGCCCGCCUAGGAACGCGGAGAAAAUAUGACAAAGGAACGGCCAAAAAUAAAAAGAAAGACCUUUCUUUUGAAAAAACAAACAAAUAAAAGGAAUGCAACACGAGGACUUCCCAGGAGGUCACCCAUCCUAGUACUACUCUCGCCCAAGCACGCUUAACUUCGGAGUUCUGAUGGGAUCCGGUGCUUUAGUGCUGGUAUGAUCGCAUCCGACAUACCGUGCGUUCUCCUCCCCUUUAUGCCCGCGCCUCCGUGUACGGCCCGCCCAUAGCUCCUUCGACGGCGCCGCCUAGGAACGCGGAGAAAAUAUGACAAAGGAACGGCCAAAAAUAAAAAGAAAGACCUUUCUUUUGAAAAAACAAACAAAAAAAAGGAAUGCAACACGAGGACUUCCCAGGAGGUCACCCAUCCUAGUACUACUCUCGCCCAAGCACGCUUAACUUCGGAGUUCUGAUGGGAUCCGGUGCUUUAGUGCUGGUAUGAUCGCAUCCGACAUACCGUGCGUUCUCCUCCCCUUUAUGCCCGCGCCUCCGUGUACGGCCCGCCCAUAGCUCCUUCGACGGCGCCGCCUAGGAACGCGGAGAAAAUAUGACAAAGGAACGGCCAAAAAUAAAAAGAAAGACCUUUCUUUUGAAAAAACAAACAAAUAAAAGGAAUGCAACACGAGGACUUCCCAGGAGGUCACCCAUCCUAGUACUACUCUCGCCCAAGCACGCUUAACUUCGGAGUUCUGAUGGGAUCCGGUGCUUUAGUGCUGGUAUGAUCGCAUCCGACAUACCGUGCGUUCUCCUCCCCUUUAUGCCCGCGCCUCCGUGUACGGCCCGCCCAUAGCUCCUUCGACGGCGCCGCCUAGGAACGCGGAGAAAAUAUGACAAAGGAACGGCCAAAAAUAAAAAGAAAGACCUUUCUUUUGAAAAAACAAACAAAUAAAAGGAAUGCAACACGAGGACUUCCCAGGAGGUCACCCAUCCUAGUACUACUCUCGCCCAAGCACGCUUAACUUCGGAGUUCUGAUGGGAUCCGGUGCUUUAGUGCUGGUAUGAUCGCAUCCGACAUACCGUGCGUUCUCCUCCCCUUUAUGCCCGCGCCUCCGUGUACGGUCCGCCCAUAGCUCUUUAGUUGGCGCCUCCUAGGAACGCGGAGAAAAUAUGACAAAGGAACGGCCAAAAAUAAAAAGAAAGACCUUUCUUUUGAAAAAACAAACGCCUCCGUGUACGGCCCGCCCAUAGCUCCUUCGACGGCGCCGCCUAGGAACGCGGAGAAAAUAUGACAAAGGAACGGCCAAAAAUAAAAAGAAAGACCUUUCUUUUGAAAAAACAAACAAAAAAAAGGAAUGCAACACGAGGACUUCCCAGGAGGUCACCCAUCCUAGUACUACUCUCGCCCAAGCACGCUUAACUUCGGAGUUCUGAUGGGAUCCGGUGCUUUAGUGCUGGUAUGAUCGCAUCCGACAUACCGUGCGUUCUCCUCCCCUUUAUGCCCGCGCCUCCGUGUACGGCCCGCCCAUAGCUCCUUCGACGGCGCCGCCUAGGAACGCGGAGAAAAUAUGACAAAGGAACGGCCAAAAAUAAAAAGAAAGACCUUUCUUUUGAAAAAACAAACAAAUAAAAGGAAUGCAACACGAGGAGUUCCCAGGAGGUCACCCAUCCUAGUACUACUCUCGCCCAAGCACGCUUAACUUCGGAGUUCUGAUGGGAUCCGGUGCUUUAGUGCUGGUAUGAUCGCAUCCGACAUACCGUGCGUUCUCCUCCCCUUUAUGCCCGCGCCUCCGUGUACGGCCCGCCCAUAGCUCCUUCGAUGGCGCCGCCUAGGAACGCGGAGAAAAUAUGACAAAGGAACGGCCAAAAAUAAAAAGAAAGACCUUUCUUUUGAAAAAACAAACGCCUCCGUGUACGGCCCGCCCAUAGCUCCUUCGACGGCGCCGCCUAGGAACGCGGAGAAAAUAUGACAAAGGAACGGCCAAAAAUAAAAAGAAAGACCUUUCUUUUGAAAAAACAAACAAAAAAAAGGAAUGCAACACGAGGACUUCCCAGGAGGUCACCCAUCCUAGUACUACUCUCGCCCAAGCACGCUUAACUUCGGAGUUCGGAUGGGAUCCGGUGCUUUAGUGCUGGUAUGAUCGCAUCCGACAUACCGUGCGUUCUCCUCCCCUUUAUGCCCGCGCCUCCGUGUACGGCCCGCCCAUAGCUCCUUCGACGGCGCCGCCUAGGAACGCGGAGAAAAUAUGACAAAGGAACGGCCAAAAAUAAAAAGAAAGACCUUUCUUUUGAAAAAACAAACAAAUAAAAGGAAUGCAACACGAGGACUUCCCAGGAGGUCACCCAUCCUAGUACUACUCUCGCCCAAGCACGCUUAACUUCGGAGUUCUGAUGGGAUCCGGUGCUUUAGUGCUGGUAUGAUCGCAUCCGACAUACCGUGCGUUCUCCUCCCCUUUAUGCCCGCGCCUCCGUGUACGGCCCGCCCAUAGCUCCUUCGACGGCGCCGCCUAGGAACGCGGAGAAAAUAUGACAAAGGAACGGCCAAAAAUAAAAAGAAAGACCUUUCUUUUGAAAAAACAAACAAAAAAAAGGAAUGCAACACGAGGACUUCCCAGGAGGUCACCCAUCCUAGUACUACUCUCGCCCAAGCACGCUUAACUUCGCAGUUCUGAUGGGAUCCGGUGCUUUAGUGCUGGUAUGAUCGCAUCCGACAUACCGUGCGUUCUCCUCCCCUUUAUGCCCGCGCCUCCGUGUACGGCCCGCCCAUAGCUCCUUCGACGGCGCCGCCUAGGAACGCGGAGAAAAUAUGACAAAGGAACGGCCAAAAAUAAAAAGAAAGACCUUUCUUUUGAAAAAACAAACGGCUCCGUGUACGGCCCGCCCAUAGCUCCUUCGACGGCGCCGCCUAGGAACGCGGAGAAAAUAUGACAAAGGAACGGCCAAAAAUAAAAAGAAAGACCUUUCUUUUGAAAAAACAAACAAAAAAAAGGAAUGCAACACGAGGACUUCCCAGGAGGUCACCCAUCCUAGUACUACUCUCGCCCAAGCACGCUUAACUUCGGAGUUCUGAUGGGAUCCGGUGCUUUAGUGCUGGUAUGAUCGCAUCCGACAUACCGUGCGUUCUCCUCCCCUUUAUGCCCGCGCCUCCGUGUACGGCCCGCCCAUAGCUCCUUCGACGGCGCCGCCUAGGAACGCGGAGAAAAUAUGACAAAGGAACGGCCAAAAAUAAAAAGAAAGACCUUUCUUUUGAAAAAACAAACAAAUAAAAGGAAUGCAACACGAGGACUUCCCAGGAGGUCACCCAUCCUAGUACUACUCUCGCCCAAGCACGCUUAACUUCGGAGUUCUGAUGGGAUCCGGUGCUUUAGUGCUGGUAUGAUCGCAUCCGACAUACCGUGUGUCGACGAAAGCUGGUCGGCAGUCUACCUUGGGGUAUACCCACGGUAGUAGUUUAUCGGUAGACGGUGCGCAAACUACGAACUCGAUGGUGACGCAAGACACGGACAAGCUUUUUAUCCAGGUUCGGCCGCCGAGUUGGCGUAAUACCUACGUCCUGCGUCUGGUUGUAUUGGAUUGUGUUUAGAGAUAAUCUACCCUAGGGGGUCCCCUUGCCCCUCCUUAUAUAGUCUGGAGGGCAGGGUUACAGAUCUAGAAACUAAUCCUAGCCGGUUACAAUUGCCAUAGAUAAUUCGAUAUCAAUUCCUAUUCUAACCGACUAGAAUCCUGCUUGAUCUCCACGUCCUGUUUCCUUGCGCGAAACUCGGGCUAUCGGAUCAAGCCUUGAACUCGUCUCGUAGUGGGCCAAGCUUCCUAGCUGAAGUCUAGCCGUAAGGGUAUAGGGGUUUAUACCCCCACAGCUAGUCCCCGAGCGCCAUGUAUUGUGACGCAACACUCCGUCUUGAGCUUCUUCGAUCAGCGUGGUCUGUCGUCUUCAAUGAGCGGGGAAAUCGCCCAAACGGUUCAUUGAUCAACGUUGUCAUCGAAGAAGCAGGUUGUUCGAAGAAUGCAUGGUGCUCUAAAAAAAAUUUCUUUCCUGGUGAAGUGUGCCCACUUUGCCUUUCUGAAAGGUAGAAGCAACAAAAAAGCAAGCAAAUUCACCGCUAGGUGAAGUGUGCCCACUUAGUCCCCGAGCCUGGUAGUAGGUGUCGUAGGCACGUGGUGCCAGGGUCAAAAGAAAAUUCCCCAAAGUAGUUUUGGGACUGAGAUGCAUCGUACCGAUGUAGUCCCCGAGCUUGCUGGAAGGCGAAGUAUGAGCCUUGUAGCAAGGUCUAAAAAAUUGAAUUUACCAGUCCCCGAGCAUGUCAUGCUCGUCUGCAAUCGAAAAGACCAAUCGACCAGUCCCCAGGCACUUAGUGUGCUGCCUGGAAUUACAUGUUACUAUACUGUACGACCAGUCCCCGAGCAUCGAGUGCUCAGUGGUCGGUGCAUGCUUUAAAGCUUUGAGCUGAUAGACUGAGCGACCAGUCCCCGAGCGUCGAGUGCUCGGUGGUCGGUGAAGUCUUUGAAGUUCCGAGCUGAUAAACUGGGCGACCAGUCCCCGAGCGUCGAGUGCUCGGUGGUCGGUGCAGUCUUUGAAGUUCCGAGCUAAUAAACUGGGCGACCAGUCCCCGAGCGUCGAGUGCUCGGUGGUCGGUGCAGUCUUUGAAGUUCCGAGCUAAUAAACUGGGCGACCAGUCCCCGAGCGUCGAGUGCUCGGUGGUCGGUGCAGUCCCCGGAUUGCUGACUCACUGGCGUAUGUGUCUUCUUACUUUUGAAAAGGUCUUUCAAAUUUAAAGUUGACGUGACGGGGUCUCCUGACGAUAUGUCAGACGGAUGCAUGAAAAGCUGUGCCUGGCAACUGUACAACCGCUCUUUGCNNNNNNNNNNNNNNNNNNNNNNNNNNNNNNNNNNNNNNNNNNNNNNNNNNNNNNNNNNNNNNNNNNNNNNNNNNNNNNNNNNNNNNNNNNNNNNNNNNNNCGUUCUCCUCCCCUUUAUGCCCGCGCCUCCGUGUCCGUAAAGGGCAUAGCUCCUUCGACGGCGCCGCCGUAGGAACGCUGAGAAGAUAUGACAAAGGAACGGCCAAAAAUAAAAAGAAAGACCUUUCUUUUGAAAAAACAAACAAAAAAAAGGAAUGCAACACGAGGACUUCCCAGGAGGUCACCCAUCCUAGUACUACUCUCGCCCAAGCACGCUUAACUUCGGAGUUCUGAUGGGAUCCGGUGCUUUAGUGCUGGUAUGAUCGCAUCCGACAUACCGUGCGUUCUCCUCCCCUUUAUGCCCGCGCCUCCGUGUACGGCCGGCCCAUAGCUCCUUCGACGGCGCCGCCUAGGAACGCGGAGAAAAUAUGACAAAGGAAUUUUUUUAAAUAAAAAGAAAGACCUUUCUUUUGAAAAAACAAACGAAAAAAAGGAAUGCAACACGAGGACUUCCCAGGAGGUCACCCAUCCUAGUACUACUCUCGCCCAAGCACGCUUAACUUCGGAGUUCUGAUGGGAUCCGGUGCUUUAGUGCUGGUAUGAUCGCAUCCGACAUACCGUGCGUUCUCCUCCCCUUUAUGCCCGCGCCUCCGUGUACGGCCCGCCCAUAGCUCCUUCGACGGCGCCGCCUAAGAACGCGGAAAAAAUAUGACAAAGGAACGGCCAAAAAUAAAAAAAAAAAACCUUUCUUUUGAAAAAANNNNNNNNNNNNNNNNNNNNNNNNNNNNNNNNNNNNNNNNNNNNNNNNNNNNNNNNNNNNNNNNNNNNNNNNNNNNNNNNNNNNNNNNNNNNNNNNNNNNAAAAGGAAUGCAACACGAGGACUUCCCAGGAGGUCACCCAUCCUAGUACUACUCUCGCCCAAGCACGCUUAACUUCGGAGUUCUGAUGGGAUCCGGUGCUUUAGUGCUGGUAUGAUCGCAUCCGACAUACCGUGCGUUCUCCUCCCCUUUAUGCCCGCGCCUCCGUGUUACGGCCCGCCCAUAGCUCCUUCGACGGCGCCGCCUAGGAACGCGGAGAAAAUAUGACAAAGGAACGGCCAAAAAUCAAAAGAAAGACCUUUCUUUUGAAAAAACACACGCCUCCGUGUACGGCCCGCCCAUAGCUCCUUCGACGGCGCCGCCUAGGAACGCGGAGAAAAUAUGACAAAGGAACGGCCAAAAAUAAAAAGAAAGACCUUUCUUUUGAAAAAACAAACAAAUAAAAGGAAUGCAACACGAGGACUUCCCAGGAGGUCACCCAUCCUAGUACUACUCUCGCCCAAGCACGCUUAACUUCGGAGUUCUGAUGGGAUCCGGUGCUUUAGUGCUGGUAUGAUCGCAUCCGACAUACCGUGCGUUCUCCUCCCCUUUAUGCCCGCGCCUCCGUGUACGGCCCGCCCAUAGCUCCUUCGACGGCGCCGCCUAGGAACGCGGAGAAAAUAUGACAAAGGAACGGCCAAAAAUAAAAAGAAAGACCUUUCUUUUGAAAAAACAAACAAAUAAAAGGAAUGCAACACGAGGACUUCCCAGGAGGUCACCCAUCCUAGUACUACUCUCGCCCAAGCACGCUUAACUUCGGAGUUCUGAUGGGAUCCGGUGCUUUAGUGCUGGUAUGAUCGCAUCCGACAUACCGUGCGUUCUCCUCCCCUUUAUGCCCGCGCCUCCGUGUACGGCCCGCCCAUAGCUCCUUCGACGGCGCCGCCUAGGAACGCGGAGAAAAUAUGACAAAGGAACGGCCAAAAAUAAAAAGAAAGACCUUUCUUUUGAAAAAACAAACGCCUCCGUGUACGGCCCGCCCAUAGCUCCUUCGACGGCGCCGCCUAGGAACGCGGAGAAAAUAUGACAAAGGAACGGCCAAAAAUAAAAAGAAAGACCUUUCUUUUGAAAAAACAAACAAAAAAAAGGAAUGCAACACGAGGACUUCCCAGGAGGUCACCCAUCCUAGUACUACUCUCGCCCAAGCACGCUUAACUUCGGAGUUCUGAUGGGAUCCGGUGCUUUAGUGCUGGUAUGAUCGCAUCCGACAUACCGUGCGUUCUCCUCCCCUUUAUGCCCGCGCCUCCGUGUACGGCCCGCCCAUAGCUCCUUCGACGGCGCCGCCUAGGAACGCGGAGAAAAUAUGACAAAGGAACGGCCAAAAAUAAAAAGAAAGACCUUUCUUUUGAAAAAACAAACAAAUAAAAGGAAUGCAACACGAGGACUUCCCAGGAGGUCACCCAUCCUAGUACUACUCUCGCCCAAGCACGCUUAACUUCGGAGUUCUGAUGGGAUCCGGUGCUUUAGUGCUGGUAUGAUCGCAUCCGACAUACCGUGCGUUCUCCUCCCCUUUAUGCCCGCGCCUCCGUGUACGGCCCGCCCAUAGCUCCUUCGACGGCGCCGCCUAGGAACGCGGAGAAAAUAUGACAAAGGAACGGCCAAAAAUAAAAAGAAAGACCUUUCUUUUGAAAAAACAAACGCCUCCGUGUACGGCCCGCCCAUAGCUCCUUCGACGGCGCCGCCUAGGAACGCGGAGAAAAUAUGACAAAGGAACGGCCAAAAAUAAAAAGAAAGACCUUUCUUUUGAAAAAACAAACAAAAAAAAGGAAUGCAACACGAGGACUUCCCAGGAGGUCACCCAUCCUAGUACUACUCUCGCCCAAGCACGCUUAACUUCGGAGUUCUGAUGGGAUCCGGUGCUUUAGUGCUGGUAUGAUCGCAUCCGACAUACCGUGCGUUCUCCUCCCCUUUAUGCCCGCGCCUCCGUGUACGGCCCGCCCAUAGCUCCUUCGACGGCGCCGCCUAGGAACGCGGAGAAAAUAUGACAAAGGAACGGCCAAAAAUAAAAAGAAAGACCUUUCUUUUGAAAAAACAAACAAAUAAAAGGAAUGCAACACGAGGACUUCCCAGGAGGUCACCCAUCCUAGUACUACUCUCGCCCAAGCACGCUUAACUUCGGAGUUCUGAUGGGAUCCGGUGCUUUAGUGCUGGUAUGAUCGCAUCCGACAUACCGUGCGUUCUCCUCCCCUUUAUGCCCGCGCCUCCGUGUACGGCCCGCCCAUAGCUCCUUCGACGGCGCCGCCUAGGAACGCGGAGAAAAUAUGACAAAGGAACGGCCAAAAAUAAAAAGAAAGACCUUUCUUUUGAAAAAACAAACAAAAAAAAGGAAUGCAACACGAGGACUUCCCAGGAGGUCACCCAUCCUAGUACUACUCUCGCCCAAGCACGCUUAACUUCGGAGUUCUGAUGGGAUCCGGUGCUUUAGUGCUGGUAUGAUCGCAUCCGACAUACCGUGCGUUCUCCUCCCCUUUAUGCCCGCGCCUCCGGGUACGGUCCUCCCAUAGCUCCGUCAACGGCCCGCCUAGGAACGCGGAGAAAAUAUGACAAAGGAACGGCCAAAAAUAAAAAGAAAGCCCUUUCUUUUGAAAAGACAACCGAAUAAAAGGAAUGCCACGCGAGGACUUCCCAGGAGGUCACCCAUCAUAGUACUACUCUCGCCCAAGCACGCUUAACUUCGGAGUUCUGAUGGGAUCCGGUGCUUUAGUGCUGGUAUGAUCGCAUCCGACAUACCGCGCGUUCUCCUCCCCUUAAGGCCCGCGCCUCCGUGUACGGCCCGCCCAUAGCUCCUUAGACGGCACCUCCUAGGAACGCGGAGAAAAUAUGACAAAGGAACGGCCAAAAAUAAAAAGAAAGACCUUUCUUUUGAAAAAACAAACGCCUCCGUGUACGGCCCGCCCAUAGCUCCUUCGACGGCGCCGCCUAGGAACGCGGAGAAAAUAUGACAAAGGAACGGCCAAAAAUAAAAAGAAAGACCUUUCUUUUGAAAAAACAAACAAAAAAAAGGAAUGCAACACGAGGACUUCCCAGGAGGUCACCCAUCCUAGUACUACUCUCGCCCAAGCACGCUUAACUUCGGAGUUCUGAUGGGAUCCGGUGCUUUAGUGCUGGUAUGAUCGCAUCCGACAUACCGUGCGUUCUCCUCCCCUUUAUGCCCGCGCCUCCGUGUACGGCCCGCCCAUAGCUCCUUCGACGGCGCCGCCUAGGAACGCGGAGAAAAUAUGACAAAGGAACGGCCAAAAAUAAAAAGAAAGACCUUUCUUUUGAAAAAACAAACGCCUCCGCGUACGGCCCGCCCAUAGCUCCUUCGACGGCGCCGCCUAGGAACGCGGAGAAAAUAUGACAAAGGAACGGCCAAAAAUAAAAAGAAAGACCUUUCUUUUGAAAAAACAAACAAAAAAAAGGAAUGCAACACGAGGACUUCCCAGGAGGUCACCCAUCCUAGUACUACUCUCGCCCAAGCACGCUUAACUUCGGAGUUCUGAUGGGAUCCGGUGCUUUAGUGCUGGUAUGAUCGCAUCCGACAUACCGUGCGUUCUCCUCCCCUUUAUGCCCGCGCCUCCGUGUACGGCCCGCCCAUAGCUCCUUCGACGGCGCCGCCUAGGAACGCGGAGAAAAUAUGACAAAGGAACGGCCAAAAAUAAAAAGAAAGACCUUUCUUUUGAAAAAACAAACAAAUAAAAGGAAUGCAACACGAGGACUUCCCAGGAGGUCACCCAUCCUAGUACUACUCUCGCCCAAGCACGCUUAACUUCGGAGUUCUGAUGGGAUCCGGUGCUUUAGUGCUGGUAUGAUCGCAUCCGACAUACCGUGCGUUCUCCUCCCCUUUAUGCCCGCGCCUCCGUGUACGGCCCGCCCAUAGCUCCUUCGACGGCGCCGCCUAGGAACGCGGAGAAAAUAUGACAAAGGAACGGCCAAAAAUAAAAAGAAAGACCUUUCUUUUGAAAAAACAAACAAAUAAAAGGAAUGCAACACGAGGACUUCCCAGGAGGUCACCCAUCCUAGUACUACUCUCGCCCAAGCACGCUUAACUUCGGAGUUCUGAUGGGAUCCGGUGCUUUAGUGCUGGUAUGAUCGCAUCCGACAUACCGUGCGUUCUCCUCCCCUUUAUGCCCGCGCCUCCGUGUACGGCCCGCCCAUAGCUCCUUCGACGGCGCCGCCUAGGAACGCGGAGAAAAUAUGACAAAGGAACGGCCAAAAAUAAAAAGAAAGACCUUUCUUUUGAAAAAACAAACGCCUCCGUGUACGGCCCGCCCAUAGCUCCUUCGACGGCGCCGCCUAGGAACGCGGAGAAAAUAUGACAAAGGAACGGCCAAAAAUAAAAAGAAAGACCUUUCUUUUGAAAAAACAAACAAAAAAAAGGAAUGCAACACGAGGACUUCCCAGGAGGUCACCCAUCCUAGUACUACUCUCGCCCAAGCACGCUUAACUUCGGAGUUCUGAUGGGAUCCGGUGCUUUAGUGCUGGUAUGAUCGCAUCCGACAUACCGUGCGUUCUCCUCCCCUUUAUGCCCGCGCCUCCGUGUACGGCCCGCCCAUAGCUCCUUCGACGGCGCCGCCUAGGAACGCGGAGAAAAUAUGACAAAGGAACGGCCAAAAAUAAAAAGAAAGACCUUUCUUUUGAAAAAACAAACAAAUAAAAGGAAUGCAACACGAGGACUUCCCAGGAGGUCACCCAUCCUAGUACUACUCUCGCCCAAGCACGCUUAACUUCGGAGUUCUGAUGGGAUCCGGUGCUUUAGUGCUGGUAUGAUCGCAUCCGACAUACCGUGCGUUCUCCUCCCCUUUAUACCCGCGCCUCCGUGUACGGCCCGCCCAUAGCUCCUUCGACGGCGCCGCCUAGGAACGCGGAGAAAAUAUGACAAAGGAACGGCCAAAAAUAAAAAGAAAGACCUUUCUUUUGAAAAAACAAACAAAUAAAAGGAAUGCAACACGAGGACUUCCCAGGAGGUCACCCAUCCUAGUACUACUCUCGCCCAAGCACGCUUAACUUCGGAGUUCUGAUGGGAUCCGGUGCUUUAGUGCUGGUAUGAUCGCAUCCGACAUACCGUGCGUUCUCCUCCCCUUUAUGCCCGCGCCUCCGUGUACGGCCCGCCCAUAGCUCCUUCGACGGCGCCGCCUAGGAACGCGGAGAAAAUAUGACAAAGGAACGGCCAAAAAUAAAAAGAAAGACCUUUCUUUUGAAAAAACAAACGCCUCCGUGUACGGCCCGCCCAUAGCUCCUUCGACGGCGCCGCCUAGGAACGCGGAGAAAAUAUGACAAAGGAACGGCCAAAAAUAAAAAGAAAGACCUUUCUUUUGAAAAAACAAACAAAAAAAAGGAAUGCAACACGAGGACUUCCCAGGAGGUCACCCAUCCUAGUACUACUCUCGCCCAAGCACGCUUAACUUCGGAGUUCUGAUGGGAUCCGGUGCUUUAGUGCUGGUAUGAUCGCAUCCGACAUACCGUGCGUUCUCCUCCCCUUUAUACCCGCGCCUCCGUGUACGGCCCGCCCAUAGCUCCUUCGACGGCGCCGCCUAGGAACGCGGAGAAAAUAUGACAAAGGAACGGCCAAAAAUAAAAAGAAAGACCUUUCUUUUGAAAAAACAAGCAAAAAAAAGGAAUGCAACACGAGGACUUCCCAGGAGGUCACCCAUCCUAGUACUACUCUCGCCCAAGCACGCUUAACUUCGGAGUUCUGAUGGGAUCCGGUGCUUUAGUGCUGGUAUGAUCGCAUCCGACAUACCGUGCGUUCUCCUCCCCUUUAUGCCCGCGCCUCCGUGUACGGCCCGCCCAUAGCUCCUUCGACAGCGCCGCCUAGGAACGCGGAGAAAAUAUGACAAAGGAACGGCAAAAAAUAAAAAGAAAGACCUUUCUUUUGAAAAAACAAACAAAAAAAAGGAAUGCAACACGCGGACUUCCCAGGAGGUCACCCAUCCUAGUACUACUCUCGCCUAAGCACGCUUAACUUCGGAGUNNNNNNNNNNNNNNNNNNNNNNNNNNNNNNNNNNNNNNNNNNNNNNNNNNNNNNNNNNNNNNNNNNNNNNNNNNNNNNNNNNNNNNNNNNNNNNNNNNNNNNNNNNNNNNNNNNNNNNNNNNNNNNNNNNNNNNNNNNNNNNNNNNNNNNNNNNNNNNNNNNNNNNNNNNNNNNNNNNNNNNNNNNNNNNNNNNNNNNNNNNNNNNNNNNNNNNNNNNNNNNNNNNNNNNNNNNNNNNNNNNNNNNNNNNNNNNNNNNNNNNNNNNNNNNNNNNNNNNNNNNNNNNNNNNNNNNNNNNNNNNNNNNNNNNNNNNNNNNNNNNNNNNNNNNNNNNNNNNNNNNNNNNNNNNNNNNNNNNNNNNNNNNNNNNNNNNNNNNNNNNNNNNNNNNNNNNNNNNNNNNNNNNNNNNNNNNNNNNNNNNNNNNNNNNNNNNNNNNNNNNNNNNNNNNNNNNNNNNNNNNNNNNNNNNNNNNNNNNNNNNNNNNNNNNNNNNNNNNNNNNNNNNNNNNNNNNNNNNNNNNNNNNNNNNNNNNNNNNNNNNNNNNNNNNNNNNNNNNNNNNNNNNNNNNNNNNNNNNNNNNNNNNNNNNNNNNNNNNNNNNNNNNNNNNNNNNNNNNNNNNNNNNNNNNNNNNNNNNNNNNNNNNNNNNNNNNNNNNNNNNNNNNNNNNNNNNNNNNNNNNNNNNNNNNNNNNNNNNNNNNNNNNNNNNNNNNNNNNNNNNNNNNNNNNNNNNNNNNNNNNNNNNNNNNNNNNNNNNNNNNNNNNNNNNNNNNNNNNNNNNNNNNNNNNNNNNNNNNNNNNNNNNNNNNNNNNNNNNNNNNNNNNNNNNNNNNNNNNNNNNNNNNNNNNNNNNNNNNNNNNNNNNNNNNNNNNNNNNNNNNNNNNNNNNNNNNNNNNNNNNNNNNNNNNNNNNNNNNNNNNNNNNNNNNNNNNNNNNNNNNNNNNNNNNNNNNNNNNNNNNNNNNNNNNNNNNNNNNNNNNNNNNNNNNNNNNNNNNNNNNNNNNNNNNNNNNNNNNNNNNNNNNNNNNNNNNNNNNNNNNNNNNNNNNNNNNNNNNNNNNNNNNNNNNNNNNNNNNNNNNNNNNNNNNNNNNNNNNNNNNNNNNNNNNNNNNNNNNNNNNNNNNNNNNNNNNNNNNNNNNNNNNNNNNNNNNNNNNNNNNNNNNNNNNNNNNNNNNNNNNNNNNNNNNNNNNNNNNNNNNNNNNNNNNNNNNNNNNNNNNNNNNNNNNNNNNNNNNNNNNNNNNNNNNNNNNNNNNNNNNNNNNNNNNNNNNNNNNNNNNNNNNNNNNNNNNNNNNNNNNNNNNNNNNNNNNNNNNNNNNNNNNNNNNNNNNNNNNNNNNNNNNNNNNNNNNNNNNNNNNNNNNNNNNNNNNNNNNNCCUUCAUCCAUCUGUGCGAGGCCUAUGUUGGCAUAGAGCCGCACUUUGAUCUUUUCCGGUAUCUUUUCUGUCUGAGGAAGAAGGGAGCAGUUGGAGGCUCCAAGGUUGCAGGUGGAGUAUACCUCAACCUCCGUGAUGGGAUGAAGAAUCGCUACCUGCACUGCCCAUGGAACACCUCCUUGACCGAAUGGUACAGGAAGUGGUUCUACGUCAGGGAGGAACCGGGCAGCUCCACGUUCUGCGACGUGGGGUACGUUCCCGAGAAGAGGGCGAGCUGGACUGACCGCCCAGAGUUCGACGGUCAAGUGGCGGUUCUGAUGAAGCUGAUCGACUGGUCGCGCCUGGAUGGGCUCAGCGUGGUCGGCAACUUCAUUUGCCGCCGGGUGAUGCCCUGCCAGAAGAGGGUGCACUCGGCGUAUGAAUAUGCCGGAAGCACAGACCCGACCAGGAUGCGGUCGGAGAUCCUGGAGAAGGCGGAGGUACAACAGCUGCUGAACGAGCUGUUUAACUUCGCGGAUGGGGGCUUCACCCGUAGCAGUGAUCGGGUGCAAGCCUUCAAGUUAGGACGACCAGCACCAAAGGUAUGUAGCAGACUUCGUUUGAUCAUUCGUAUGUCGCCUGUAGUUGGCUCAUCUCUGUUACCUUUGCAGGUCGGUGAUGUCGACCGGUGCGUAGUGUACGUAUCACUGGCACCGGGGAUGGAAGAUCCUGUGGGAGAGGUCCCACCGGAGGAAGGCAGAGCCCGCCCCGUCCCGACCUCCGAGGAGAGGGUGGCGGGGAAAAGGCCAUUGCCGGUGGAUCCCCUGCCGACGCCGGAGCUGCCGGCAGACCUACCGGCGGAGAGCAGCCAAGCGCCGAAGCGUCGUCGGCUCGUGCGGAUCGUCGACGACGACGACGACGACGAGGAGGCUGCGCCGUCGUUGGUCCGACGGCCUCGGGGCCGCCCAGACGCUGCACCAGUCGCCACUGAUCGAGUGGCCAACGGCGCGGCUGCCCCGCAAGUUGCCGAGGUGGGGGCACAGGCGCCGACCGGCCGGGCGAGGAGGAGGUUCACCGCGACCCAUCGCCGGUCAGACCUGUAAGUGUUCAACUUACGUAUUUUGGACUCCCCCUUUUUUUUUUUUUUAAACUUUUGUUCCUGUAGUGCGGCAUCGGAUGUCGACCCUGGCCAAACUGCCGGCCAGGGAACGGGCGAGCCUGCCCGCGGUUCUCGGGAUGCGGCCCCCCAGACCACAGAACAGCCGACUGCUGCAGUCGCGCCUGGGAGCACCGAGGAGCUCCCGAGCGCGGCGCCGACUACAACAAGCAGCCCGACCAGGGCUGGGGAGGCUCCCCCAACUGACUCUUCGGAGAAGGGAAAGUCUCCGACCGCUCCUCCUGCCGGGGGGAGUGAAGUCCCCCCGCCGCCCCGAGCAGAAGCCUCUCCGGCUGCGGGCUCCCCAGGUCUGGUCCAAGGGACGUUGACGCCUGGGACCACCACCGGGGGUGACGCAGCCCAGGAGGAGGAAACCAGGGCGGCCUCCGACGACGAGGUAGAAGAGAUCGAGGGUCGUCCCCGUGAUGGCCGCCAACACGUGUAUGUGUGGCGCCAACGCGGGGAUCACUUUAUCGGUCAUGAGGAGCUUGCCGAGUCCGAAGAGGCCGCCAGGGUGGAGCGCGCGGCCAAGCGCCUUGUCGACGAAGUCAAGGUAAGCGUCGUUUUGAGCUGCCGCGCAUUCUUUUGCCUUGUCUUCUGCGCAUUGUUAUAUGCUUGCUUUGUAGGACGUUAUGAAAACGGCGAAGUACCGGAAACGGUGCUUUGACCAGAUAGAAGGCGUCAUGGCCGAGAACAAGGCCCUUGCCGCGGAGGUAGACCGGUUGCGGGCGGAGGUCGGAGAGAAGGUGGUCGAGAUGAGCACCGAGAAGGAGCGUCGUCUCGACCUCGCUCGUCGCCUGGCCGACCAGUACCGGCUGCAGGAAGGUUAGUCUCACGCUCCGAGCAGUUUCGCAGACUUGUAUAGUUUGCUUCGCUGACCAGUUUAGGAUUCACGCAGACUUGGAGGAGGAGGUGGCGAGCCUCCAACAAGAGAAGGAGCAGCUCGGCCAACAGCUCGCCAGUGCGCAGGAGUCCGGACGGCGAGCGGAAGAGGAAUUAAGUCGUAAAGACCGGGAGUUAGCUGGUAAUGGGUGCCGCCUUGUUGGUUGCUACCUGCCCCUUUGCUUGUUUGGUAUGCCGAAAGUAACGUUUCGUUUCGUUUGCAGUGCUCAAGGUGAACACCAAAAAGCACCUGGAUGAGCUGGUCAAGGACCGGGACUCCUGGAAGGUCAACUGUUGCAGGAUCUGGAAGGGAGUGUCCCCGGUCCUGGACCUGAUCAGUCCCGAGCUCCCGGAGAGCCAGCCCCGCGCGCCGCAGUUGACCCCGGUUCAAAAGGCGCAACGGGCGUGGGACUGGCUCCAGCAGUUUGUGAAGGACGCCGGGGAGUUUGCCGGCGCGCACGUCCUCAGCAUGGUACGCGCCCACUACCCCCUUGUCGACUUGAGCAGGCUGGAGAAGGGGUACCCGAAGGAAGUCGGCCCACAGGAAGCGGACGAACUUCGGGGUAGUCUGCUGGACUUGUCGUCGACAGUGAUCGGCGACAUCAACCUGUGCGGAACGGCCACUCCUCCAGACCAGCCGAGCUCAGAUAGGUCGGCCAGGGAGUUGUCGGGCGCGUCCUUUGCUGGAGAUGGGCGGUCGACGCCUGCGGUCUCGACCAGCCAGGCGCCGGUGGCCCCGACCCCUUCGUCCGGGCAGCAGGGCCAGGCGGGUGAUCAGCCCGAGCAGCUAGGCCAAUAAAGUAGUCUGUAGGAAUAGACUAGUAUCUGCCCGUCAGGGUAUUUAUUGUAAACUUUGUAUGUAAAGUUUGUAAUAAAGUUUUCUUUUUGUCAUGACUGUUGUUUUGAGCGCUGUAAAAAUAUCUGAGUGAUGUGUCAUCGUAUUUGUCUUGGUUGUCGCCAAGAGCAUCCAUUGCGGGAGUUUUGCCGAGUGCUGUGUAUGACAAGGUAUAGGCAAAAAAUAGAGAAUUAUAUUGUCACAAAUUAUAAGACACUUACAAAAGAAAGUCGCUAAAACUUUAUGGAUAGAAACGUCGCAGUUUGUCGAUGUGCCAAGAGUUAGGCACUCGUGUUCCGUCUGGGUAUGCCAAUCUGUAGGACGUAGGUCGUGUGACCUCGGUCACCACGAAGGGUCCUUCCCAGGGAGUAGAUAACUUGUGCAUUCCCUCCUGGCUUGUUUUCCAUCGAAGCACCAGAUCGCCGACCACGAAGGAACGGUCCUUGACGUUCCUGUUGUAGUAUCGCCUGACUGCCGUGAGAUAUUUUGCUGUUCGGAGACAUGAAACUAAACGCUUUUCCUCCAUGCAAUUGAUUUCGAGUUCUCUGGCGUUGUCGGCGGUCGACUGGUCGAAGUGCUCAAUUCUAGGGGAUCCGAAGUGUAUGUCGGACGGCAGAACCGCCUCUGCGCCGUACACCAUGAAAUAGGGAGACACCCCCGUGUUUCGACUGGUCUGAGUUCGAAGGCCCCAGACCACUGCCGGCAAUUCUUUCAUCCAUCGACCGGGUGCUCUGUCGUUCUCGGUGUACAAUCUUUUCUUUAGGGCGUCGACGAUCAUUCCAUUAGCACGUUCGACCUGACCGUUGGCACGUGGAUGUGCCACUGACACAUAUUUUAUGACUAUGCCUCUGUCAUCGCAGAAAUCCCAAAAGGUGGUGCCAGUAAACUGAGUGCCCAGGUCGGUGAUUAUGCUGUUCGGGAUGCCGAAUCUGUGUAUGAUUUGAUUGAGGAACUCCACAGCCUUCUCGGAAGUUGCCUUGACCAGGGGCAUGUAUUCAAUCCACUUGGAGAACUUGUCGAUUAACACGAAGACAAACUUGAAGUUGCCCGGGGCUGGUUUAAAUGGUCCGAUCAUGUCAAGCCCCCAGCAGGCAAAGGGCCAAGACGACGGGAUGGUUUGAAUUUCAUGGGCAGGUACGUGGGUCCUCUUAGCGAAAAACUGACAUCCUUCGCAACGCCGAACCAGUUUUUCUGCAUCGCUGACCGCGGUCGGCCAGUAAAAACCUGCUCGGAAAGCCUUUCCGACCAGCGUUCUAGAUGCGGCGUGGUUGCCGCAGGAUCCGGCGUGUAUGUCCUCCAAGAGCUUGAUACCAUCGUCUUGGGGUAUGCACUUGAGCAGUACCUCGGAGCUUGCGUUUUUCCGCAUGAGUUUUCCGUCGACCAGGAUGUAGUUCUUUGACCGUCGGAUGAGACGCUCGUUCUCUGUUUUGUCCUGAAAACCUGUCCCGUCUGAGAUGUAUUUGAUGAACGGGACACGCCAGUCGCGCCCGCCGGUUGUCGGAGUGGCGUCAUCUAUGAGCAUUGCCUCGUUGGGUUGCUUGUCGACCAGGGGGGAGCUUACGCUCGGCUCAUGGAUGUCCUGGACGAAAAUACCGCGCGGGAUUUGGGCCCGGGACGAGCCUAACUUUGACAACGCAUCUGCUGCUUGGUUCUUAUCCCGGACCACGUGGAUGUACUCUAUGCCAUAGAAGUUAGUUUCCCAUUUGCGAAUUUCUUUGCAGUAGAGAUCCAUCUUCUCGUGGGUUGCGUCCCACUCCUUGUUGAGCUGGUUGAUGACCAAAGCGGAGUCCCCGUAGACAUAGAGGCGCUUAACCCCCAGCUCAACGGCUAGUCGUACGCCAUGUAAGCAAGCUUCAUAUUCGGCGACAUUGUUUGACGCCGGGAAAAGGAUCCGAAGGACGUAGCGGAGUUUGUCCUUGUUUGGUGAUACGAACAAUAUCCCAGCGCCUGCACCGUUGAUGUUCAAGGACCCAUCAAAGAACAUUGACCAGUGGUCUGAGACAUCGGGAACGGACGGUUCGUUGAGAUCCGUCCAUUCGGCAAUGAAAUCGACCAGGGCUUGGGACUUGACAGUGGUGCGACUCUGAAACUCCAGGGAAAAUGGACAUAAUUCCAUUGCCCAUUUCACGAUUCUGCCAUUGGCGUCUUUAUUGCGCAGGAUGUCACCGAGGGGAAAGCUGGUUGUCACCAGGACUCGAUGGCCGUCGAAGUAGUGCUUCAGUUUUCUUGACGUUAUCAGGAUGGCGUAUAUAAGCUUCUGUAUUUGUGGGUACCUGGCCUUGGAUUCGUUUAAAACUUCGCUUAUGAAGUAAACGGGCCUCUGGACCUUGAAGACGUGACCUGGUUCAUCUCGCUCGACCACUAUUGCCGUGGAAACAACUCUGUCGGUUGCAGCAAUGUAAAGGAGCAGGUCUUCGUUGGGCUGAGGCGCUGUGAGAACAGGCGGUGAAGUGAGGAAGGUCUUAAGCUGAGUGAACGCAGCGUCGGCGUCUUCUAUCCAGGAGAAUUUUUCUGACGCUUUCAAUAGUUUGAAAAAGGGGAGGCCUUUUUCUCCCAGCCUUGAGAUGAAACGACUGAGAGCGGCCAUGCAUCCGGUUAGCUUCUGAAUAUCCUUGACGUUCUUCGGUGGUCGCAUGUCGAGUACGGCUUUGACUUUUGAAGGGUUUGGCCGUAUGCCGUCGCAACUGACGACGUUGCCGAGCAGUAGACCGGAAGGAACGCCGAAAAUGCAUUUCUUGGGGUUGAGCUUCCACUUGUACCUAUUGAGUGCCUUGAAGGUUCGGUCUAAGUUGUCGAUUAGGGUGCUCGCAUCCCUUGUUUUUACGACCACGUCGUCCACAUAGGCCUCGACGAGGUCGUCGCGAAUCUCGUCGUGGAGGCAUUGCUGGAUGGCCCUUUGAUAAGUGGCCCCGGCGUUUUUAAGUCCGAAAGACAUGGUAGUGUAACAGUAUGCGCCGAAAGGUGUGAUGAAGGAUGUUUUGAUCUGAUCUUCUUCUUUUAACGAGAUCUGGUGAUAACCAGAGUAGCAAUCUAGAAAGGAGAGGAGUUCGCAUCCGGCCGUUGAGUCGACCACCUCGUCGAUGCGAGGAAGACCAAAAGGAUCUUUAGGACAGUGUUUGUUGAGAUCGGUGUAAUCAACGCACAUUCUCCAUUCAUUAUUCUUUUUGCGUACAAGAACCGGAUUGGCGAGCCAAUCGGGAUGAUACACCUCUUUUAUGAAUCCGGCUGCUAGAAGCCGUGUUAUUUCUGUCCUAAUAGCCUCCUUUUUGUCACGAGCGAACCGUCGCAGUUUUUGCUUGAUUGGUCUUGCGGUCUUCGAGACGUUUAAGGAGUGCUCGAUCAGGUUCCGUGGGACGCCGGGCAUGUCUGCGGGUUUCCAUGCGAAAACGCUCACGUUGUCCCUUAGAAACCUGACGAGCGCGUCUUCCUAUUUUGGAUCCAGGUUAGCCCCGAUGAGGGCUGUCUUCUCGGGGUUGCCCUCGACCAGCUGCACUUCUUUGUACUCCUUGGAUUUCGAAUUCUUUCUGGCUGUCUCCUGCUCAGGUAAUCGGAGCUGGUCGGGGGGCAGCUGUGCGGCUUGGUUUGCUGUUUCCGCCAUGCGGAUUGAGAGGUCAAUUGCCUCGGUGAUCUUGAAACUUUCUUCUUCGCAGGUGUACGCAGUGUAGACGUUGCCUCUGACGGUCAGGACACCCUUCUCCGUGGGCAUCUUAAGCACUAGGUACGAGUAGUGCGGGACUGCCAUGAACUUUGUCAGCGAUGGGCGGCCCAGUAUGGCGUGGUAGGUCCCGUCGAAGUCCGCGACUACGAAGUUGAUGAACUCCGUCCGGAAGUGAUCGGGUGUGCCGAAUUGGACAGGCAAUGUUAUCUGUCCGAGGGGCACCGAACUUUGACCUGGCAAAACCCCCCAGAAUUGGGCGUCGUAAGGUUUUAGUUGGGCCGGUGAUAUCUUGAGGGCGGGCAGGCUGUUGCGGAAGAGGAUGUCAAUGGAGCUUCCCCCGUCCACGAGCACGCGCUCGAAUCUGAUGCUGUUGAUGCAAGGAUCGAGAAUUAGUGGGAAACGACCCGGCUCCGGGAUAGCGGCCCACUGGUCCUUCCUGCUGAACGCGAUCUCCCUAUGGGACCAGGCGGGAAAUUUCAGAUCUGCGAUCAGCCCGUCCGUGCUGUCUAUGUUGAGGCAGGCUCUCUUCAACAGCUUUCUUUCUCGCUUGGACUCAGUGGAGACCUUGCCCCCGAAAAUGGAGUGGACCACGUCGGUGGGGCUGACGUAUUGGUGUCGGGGGUCCCUGUCUUGGUCCUCGUCCUCAUCUUCGUGGUCGUGCCCGUCGCGUUUGUUACUUUUCUUGGCGGUGUCUUCUUGGGCGGCCCGCCGUGUAUAGAUAUUUUUGAGGACGCGGCACUCUUCCAUGGUAUGGUUAGACUUUGGAUGUAGCUGGCACGGUCCCUUCAACGUUUUGUUGUAGUCGUCUUGGUAGUCCCGUCGUCCAUUGGGACGUUUGACCGUGUUUACUUCGUGGUCGUAUUCGCGAGGGCGCUUUCCUCUGAAGUCGUCGCGGCUGUCGCGCCGCCGAUCCCAACCCUCUCGGUGAUCGCGGUUGUCGGAGCGACGGUGAUUUCUGUUGUCGUAGCGGCCGCGACCGUCGUCUCGCCGGGAGGGCUGGUCGGUGCCUCUCGCAUCGUCUCGGAUUAGUUUUUCUGCGUCAUCAGCAUCGGCAUAAUUUUUAGCCGUGGCGAGGAGCUCUGCUACUGUUGAUGGACGUUUACGCAACAGCUUGUUCCUCAGCGCUUCAUGGAAACGUAAGCCCUUGAUAAAGGCUGAUAUGGCCUCGUCAUGAGAAAUCUUCGGGAUUUUGAGACGCAUAUCCGAGAAUCGUCGGAUGUAAUCACGCAGAGGUUCAUUCUUCCUGUCUCUUAUCCUUUCAAGGUCAUACUUGUUUCCGGGCUGUUCGCAUGUGGCGAUGAAGUUGUCAAUGAAAGCCUGUCGUAGUUCUUCCCAAGAGUCGAAGGAGUCCUCGGGCAAGCCGAGAAGCCACUGAUGACCAGCCUGGUCGAGGACUACGGGGAAGUAGUUAGCCAUGACGUGCUCAUCUCCUGCCGCUGAUCGGACGGCGAUUUCGUAGAGGGUGAUCCAGUUCUCUGGAUUUUCCUUGCCGUCGUAUUUUUUAAGUUUUUCGAGCUUGAAAUUUCUGGGCCACACGACCUGGCGGAGGUGUGAGGAGAACUGCCUUAGGCCCGGGGGACCAUGGGUCGCAUCGUACUCGAUGCGGCGUAGGUUUUCGUGGACUGCUCUCUCUGCGGCGCGCCUGUUGAUGCGGUCCCGGGCAUCUUUGGGAGGGAUGUUGUGGCGGAGAUCCCUGUGUUGAUCUUCUUCUUCCUGGCCGCGUACGCGGUUCUGCUGGCGGCGGCCAUCGGCGUCUCGACCACCAUCGUCGCGCCGUGAGUCCCCUCGACGGUUGUCGGGGGAGCGCCUGCGGCGACGCCUGCUGGGCGAGGCCCGGCUACGAUGAGUCUGGUCGGAGGCGGCUUCCGUAUAAGGGACGUCCUGGACUCUCUUAAGCAGAGUUGCUGUCUGUCCCAUCGCGGCGAUCAGGUGUGCUCGGAUACUGGUCCGGACCCCCUGGCAUUCUGGUGUGUCAGGAAGCCGAUCCAGGUUGGCCAUGGCAACAGCCACGUUGGCGCUUGGCGUUUUGUAGACCGGCUGGUCCCCGACCAUGUCAAAGGCAUCGUUGAGGUUACCCGGUGGCGUCUGUUGUUGCUCGUCCGCACGCCGUCGGGCGCGAUCGGCGUUACGCUGUUCGCGGAGUUGCCUCUGGUCGUCUGUUUCUCCGUCAACAACCGGUUCGUCGGCGCUGACAUUGAAUACAAUAUCCCCUCGCCGGGGGGGGGGAAUAUCGGGAACCGGUCGAAACCCGGAGGGUGUGAAGGGAAAUCCAGGUCGUAGCCCUCGUCUUCGGUGUUUAUAACCUCGGUGGGGACGGAGCCGGUGCUUGAGUUGGUGCUGGAAACCUGGCCGUUCCGUAGCUCUCGGAUUGUCACCAUGUUGACAUGGUGACGAUUGUUCCUUGUCGGCGACCAGCCCGCUUUGCUGAAAACGGAUUGAACAUGCUGUGAGUAGACAGAGGCCGAGUUAUUCAGGCCGCAAGGAUGGUCUCCCUUUUUGAGCUCGACGGAUCGGCCUGAGGAGGUUGAGGUUAUCGCCAGGGACGUUCCCAGCCGUUCGUGUGUGGUGACACGAGUUGGCCGGCGGGAUUUCGAAAAAUCCGCUUGAGUGGCUUGGUCGGGCCGGCGCAGAAUUCCAUCUAUUAGUUGGGAGACUUCGAGCAGCUUGGAGUCGGCGCGAUCGAGCGCUUGGAGGAGGUCCGAGCAGUCGAUCUCCUUUCCCUUGUAGAGUGGGAACGGUGGCCGGGAGUUUGGUGCCGUCAUGCGUGUGGUCGGAGACGGCGUGAUCUCAGAUUGGAUCUGGAUCUCUUUCGGGACCGUGGUCGGGAAGCCGCCGCUGCACGUCGUCCACGUGAUCUGGCCGACGGUAAACGUGAGGCCUUCGGGCACGGUCGCGGAAGCUGGGAUCGUGACCAUCUUGUUCGCCGGAAAAGUUGCACGCACACCCCCUACCUGGCGCGCCACUGUCGACGAAAGCUGGUCGGCAGUCUACCUUGGGGUAUACCCACGGUAGUAGUUUAUCGGUAGACGGUGCGCAAACUACGAACUCGAUGGUGACGCAAGACACGGACAAGCUUUUUAUCCAGGUUCGGCCGCCGAGUUGGCGUAAUACCUACGUCCUGCGUCUGGUUGUAUUGGAUUGUGUUUAGAGAUAAUCUACCCUAGGGGGUCCCCUUGCCCCUCCUUAUAUAGUCUGGAGGGCAGGGUUACAGAUCUAGAAACUAAUCCUAGCCGGUUACAAUUGCCAUAGAUAAUUCGAUAUCAAUUCCUAUUCUAACCGACUAGAAUCCUGCUUGAUCUCCACGUCCUGUUUCCUUGCGCGAAACUCGGGCUAUCGGAUCAAGCCUUGAACUCGUCUCGUAGUGGGCCAAGCUUCCUAGCUGAAGUCUAGCCGUAAGGGUAUAGGGGUUUAUACCCCCACACCGUGCGUUCUCCUCCCCUUUAUGCCCGCGCCUCCGUGUACGGCCCGCCCAUAGCUCCUUCGACGGCGCCGCCUAGGAACGCGGAGAAAAUAUGACAAAGGAACGGCCAAAAAUAAAAAGAAAGACCUUUCUUUUGAAAAAACAAACAAAUAAAAGGAAUGCAACACGAGGACUUCCCAGGAGGUCACCCAUCCUAGUACUACUCUCGCCCAAGCACGCUUAACUUCGGAGUUCUGAUGGGAUCCGGUGCUUUAGUGCUGGUAUGAUCGCAUCCGACAUACCGUGCGUUCUCCUCCCCUUUAUGCCCGCGCCUCCGUGUACGGCCCGCCCAUAGCUCCUUCGACGGCGCCGCCUAGGAACGCGGAGAAAAUAUGACAAAGGAACGGCCAAAAAUAAAAAGAAAGACCUUUCUUUUGAAAAAACAAACAAAAAAAAGGAAUGCAACACGAGGACUUCCCAGGAGGUCACCCAUCCUAGUACUACUCUCGCCCAAGCACGCUUAACUUCGGAGUUCUGAUGGGAUCCGGUGCUUUAGUGCUGGUAUGAUCGCAUCCGACAUACCGUGCGUUCUCCUCCCCUUUAUGCCCGCGCCUCCGUGUACGGCCCGCCCAUAGCUCUUUCGACGGCGCCGCCUAGGAACGCGGAGAAAAUAUGACAAAGGAACGGCCAAAAAUAAAAGAAAGACCUUUCUUUUGAAAAAACAAACGCCUCCGUGUACGGCCCGCCCAUAGCUCCUCCGACGGCCCCGCCUAGGAACGCGAAGAAAAUAUGACAAAGGAACGCCCAAAAAUAAAAAGAAAGACCUUUCUUUUGAAAAAACAAACAUUAAAAAGGAAUGCAACACGAGGACUUCCCAGGAGGUCACCAAUCCUAGUACUACUCUCGCCCAAGCACGCUUAACUUCGAAGUUCUGAUGGGAUCCGGUGCUUUAGUGCUGGUAUGAUCGCAUCCGACAUACCGUGCGUUCUCCUCCCCUUUAUGCCCGCGCCUCCGUGUACGGCCCGCCCAUAGCUCCUUCGACGGCGCCGCCUAGGAACGCGGAGAAAAUAUGACAAAGGAACGGCCAAAAAUAAAAAGAAAGACCUUUCUUUUGAAAAAACAAACAAAAAAAAGGAAUGCAACACGAGGACUUCCCAGGAGGUCACCCAUCCUAGUACUACUCUCGCCCAAGCACGCUUAACUUCGGAGUUCUGAUGGGAUCCGGUGCUUUAGUGCUGGUAUGAUCGCAUCCGACAUACCGUGCGUUCUCCUCCCCUUUAUGCCCGCGCCUCCGUGUACGGCCCGCCCAUAGCUCCUUCGACGGCGCCGCCUAGGAACGCGGAGAAAAUAUGACAAAGGAACGGCCAAAAAUAAAAAGAAAGACCUUUCUUUUGAAAAAACAAACAAAAAAAAGGAAUGCAACACGAGGACUUCCCAGGAGGUCACCCAUCCUAGUACUACUCUCGCCCAAGCACGCUUAACUUCGGAGUUCUGAUGGGAUCCGGUGCUUUAGUGCUGGUAUGAUCGCAUCCGACAUACCGUGCGUUCUCCUCCCCUUUAUGCCCGCGCCUCCGUGUACGGCCCGCCCAUAGCUCCUUCGACGGCGCCGCCUAGGAACGCGGAGAAAAUAUGACAAAGGAACGGCCAAAAAUAAAAAGAAAGACCUUUCUUUUGAAAAAAAAAACAAAAAAAAGGAAUGCAACACGAGGACUUCCCAGGAGGUCACCCAUCCUAGUACUACUCUCGCCCAAGCACGCUUAACUUCGGAGUUCUGAUGGGAUCCGGUGCUUUAUUGCUGGUAUGAUCGCAUCCGACAUACCGUGCGUUCUCCUCCCCUUUAUGCCCGCACCUCCGUGUACGGCCCGCCCAUAGCUCCUUCGACGGCGCCGCCUAGGAACGCGGAGAAAAUAUGACAAAGGAACGGCCAAAAAUAAAAAGAAAGACCUUUCUUUUGAAAAAACAAACAAAAAAAAGGAAUGCAACACGAGGACUUCCCAGGAGGUCACCCAUCCUAGUACUACUCUCGCCCAAGCACGCUUAACUUCGGAGUUCUGAUGGGAUCCGGUGCUUUAGUGCUGGUAUGAUCGCAUCCGACAUACCGUGCGUUCUCCUCCCCUUUAUGCCCGCGCCUCCGUGUACGGCCCGCCCAUAGCUCCUUCGACGGCGCCGCCUAGGAACGCGGAGAAAAUAUGACAAAGGAACGGCCAAAAAUAAAAAGAAAGACCUUUCUUUUGAAAAAACAAACAAAUAAAAGGAAUGCAACACGAGGACUUCCCAGGAGGUCACCCAUCCUAGUACUACUCUCGCCCAAGCACGCUUAACUUCGAAGUUCUGAUGGGAUCCGGUGCUUUAGUGCUGGUAUGAUCGUAUCCGACAUACCGUGCGUUCUCCUCCCCUGAAUGCCCGCGCCUCCGUGUACGGCCCGCCCAGAGCUCUUUAGAUGGGACUUCCGAUGGAAUCGGAGACAAUAGGACAAAGGAACGGCCAAAAAUAAAAAGAAAGACCUUUCUUCCGAAAAAACAAACGCCUCCGUGUACGGCCCGCCCAUAGCUCCUUCGACGGCGCCGCCUAGGAACGCGGAGAAAAUAUGACAAAGGAACGGCCAAAAAUAAAAAGAAAGACCUUUCUUUUGAAAAAACAAACAAAAAAAAGGAAUGCAACACGAGGACUUCCCAGGAGGUCACCCAUCCUAGUACUACUCUCGCCCAAGCACGCUUAACUUCGGAGUUCUGAUGGGAUCCGGUGCUUUAGUGCUGGUAUGAUCGCAUCCGACAUACCGUGCGUUCUCCUCCCCUUUAUGCCCGCGCCUCCGUGUACGGCCCGCCCAUAGCUCCUUCGACGGCGCCGCCUAGGAACGCGGAGAAAAUAUGACAAAGGAACGGCCAAAAAUAAAAAGAAAGACCUUUCUUUUGAAAAAACAAACGCCUCCGUGUACGGCCCGCCCAUAGCUCCUUCGACGGCGCCGCCUAGGAACGCGGAGAAAAUAUGACAAAGGAACGGCCAAAAAUAAAAAGAAAGACCUUUCUUUUGAAAAAACAAACAAAAAAAAGGAAUGCAACACGAGGACUUCCCAGGAGGUCACCCAUCCUAGUACUACUCUCGCCCAAGCACGCUUAACUUCGGAGUUCUGAUGGGAUCCGGUGCUUUAGUGCUGGUAUGAUCGCAUCCGACAUACCGUGCGUUCUCCUCCCCUUUAUGCCCGCGCCUCCGUGUACGGCCCGCCCAUAGCUCCUUCGACGGCGCCGCCUAGGAACGCGGAGAAAAUAUGACAAAGGAACGGCCAAAAAUAAAAAGAAAGACCUUUCUUUUGAAAAAACAAACAAAAAAAAGGAAUGCAACACGAGGACUUCCCAGGAGGUCACCCAUCCUAGUACUACUCUCGCCCAAGCACGCUUAACUUCGGAGUUCUGAUGGGAUCCGGUGCUUUAGUGCUGGUAUGAUCGCAUCCGACAUACCGUGCGUUCUCCUCCCCUUUAUGCCCGCGCCUCCGUGUACGGCCCGCCCAUAGCUCCUUCGACGGCGCCGCCUAGGAACGCGGAGAAAAUAUGACAAAGGAACGGCCAAAAAUAAAAAGAAAGACCUUUCUUUUGAAAAAACAAACAAAUAAAAGGAAUGCAACACGAGGACUUCCCAGGAGGUCACCCAUCCUAGUACUACUCUCGCCCAAGCACGCUUAACUUCGGAGUUCUGAUGGGAUCCGGUGCUUUAGUGCUGGUAUGAUCGCAUCCGACAUACCGUGCGUUCUCCUCCCCUUUAUGCCCGCGCCUCCGUGUACGGCCCGCCCAUAGCUCCUUCGACGGCGCCGCCUAGGAACGCGGAGAAAAUAUGACAAAGGAACGGCCAAAAAUAAAAAGAAAGACCUUUCUUUUGAAAAAACAAACAAAUAAAAGGAAUGCAACACGAGGACUUCCCAGGAGGUCACCCAUCCUAGUACUACUCUCGCCCAAGCACGCUUAACUUCGGAGCUCUGAUGGGAUCCGGUGCUUUAGUGCUGGUAUGAUCGCAUCCGACAUACCGUGCGUUCUCCUCCCCUUUAUGCCCGCGCCUCCGUGUACGGCCCGCCCAUAGCUCCUUCGACGGCGCCGCCU
rnacentral:lncRNA from 1 species